rnacentral:rRNA from 1 species
AUUAAAACACCAGUUCUUGUACAAUCACCAAAGUUAAGCAACAUCAAGCCUGGUCAGUACCUAGAUGGGUGACCACUUGGCAAUACCAGGUGCUGUAAG